UGGCUUUGCUAUUACCAUGUAGCUAUAUAAGAUCGUACUAUUGGGGGAGUUGGGUAAAGUGUAUGUAAGAGUGUACUAUUUUUACAAUACCCUAUGAGUUUAUAAUUACUUCAAAAUAAGAUUUUUUUUUAAUAAAUGGGCAUUUCCCACACAGCAGAAAUACAAACUGAAACAUAUGAAUAUAAGCCAGUAUGAUAAUGUUUGGGGAAUUAGAGUUUGCUGUGAUUGCAAUUUAGGAUAUAAAGAAUGUUCUAUGCAUUAAUUCACAAUUUUUUAAAUACUUUUAUGCACAAGAUAUUGGAAAUGGGGUAGUGAAUAGGUAUAUGAAGAACUAUUCUGUUCUAUCAAAGAAUAUUCACUUCUGCAUGUCCAGUAAUAGACAACAAAGUUUGGCCAUCAUUUAACCAAUUCUAGUGCUAAUUUGAGCUAGAUAAGGUAGAUAUUAACCCCUAUAUCAAAGACAGAUAUUAGCCCCUAUAUCAAAAACUGACAAAUGGCUUAUAUAAAUUGACAUAGCUAUAAGGUAUAGAACAGCGGCUCCACCUAGGUCUUUUGAUUUCCAUAUUUUUGCCUUUCCCUCAAUGUCUCAACACUGUUGAUAAUGUUAAUUAGGAAGGACUAGAGUAGAGAGAACCUAGAAAGGGAGACUGGAUAGGACUAUUGCAGUAAACAAGACAACAAGCCAUGGGAGACUACUAAGAUAGCAGCAAUGGGGAUAAAGAGGAGGCAGGAUCAGUGGGAUGUGGUGAUUAUCUAGCCAUAUCAGAAUUGGGGGAGGACAAGAAAAAACAGUUAUCAGGUGAUUUUUAAAGUUUCCACCCUAAAAGUCUAGGAAGAUGGCAAUAUUACAGGCAGAAAUCAAGGCAGUCAGAUUUGUUGAAUCUGAGGAGCAGGAAGUCUAGGUAGUGCUUC
rnacentral:lncRNA from 1 species